rnacentral:rRNA from 1 species
AUUGAACGCUGGCGGCAGGCUUAACACAUGCAAGCCGAGCGGAGCGAGGGUGCUUGCACCUUAGCUUAGCGGCGGACGGGUGAGUAAUGCUUAGGAAUCUGCCUAUUAGUGGGGGACAACAUUCCGAAAGGGAUGCUAAUACCGCAUACGCCCUACGGGGGAAAGCAGGGGAUCUUCGGACCUUGCGCUAAUAGAUGAGCCUAAGUCGGAUUAGCUAGUUGGUGGGGUAAAGGCCUACCAAGGCGACGAUCUGUAGCGGGUCUGAGAGGAUGAUCCGCCACACUGGGACUGAGACACGGCCCAGACUCCUACGGGAGGCAGCAGUGGGGAAUAUUGGACAAUGGGCGGAAGCCUGAUCCAGCCAUGCCGCGUGUGUGAAGAAGGCCUUUUGGUUGUAAAGCACUUUAAGCGAGGAGGAGGCUACUAGUAUUAAUACUACUGGGUAGUGGACGUUACUCGCAGAAUAAGCACCGGCUAACUCUGUGCCAGCCGCCGCGGUAA